ACGCUGGCGGCAUGCUUUACACAUGCAAGUCGAACGGUAACAGGCCUUCGGGUGCUGACGAGUGGCGAACGGGUGAGUAAUGCAUCGGAACGUACCCAGAGGUGGGGGAUAACGCAGCGAAAGCUGUGCUAAUACCGCAUGUGAUCUGAGGAUGAAAGCGGGGGACCGAGCAGCAAUGUUUGGCCUCGCGCCUUUGGAGCGGCCGAUGUCGGAUUAGCUAGUUGGUGGGGUAAAGGCCUACCAAGGCGACGAUCCGUAGCUGGUCUGAGAGGACGACCAGCCACACUGGGACUGAGACACGGCCCAGACUCCUACGGGAGGCAGCAGUGGGGAAUUUUGGACAAUGGGCGCAAGCCUGAUCCAGCAAUGCCGCGUGCGGGAAGAAGGCCUUCGGGUUGUAAACCGCUUUUGGCAGGAACGAAACGGUGUCCGCUAAUACCGGGCGCUAAUGACGGUACCUGCAGAAUAAGCACCGGCUAACUACGUG
rnacentral:rRNA from 1 species